CAAAGAGUGAGUGAGGAAAGUCAGACCUCAGCUUCCUGUCUAGGGAGACUAGAGCAGCCCUGUCAGAGAUGCCCUCCAGCAUAAGACCCCAGGCCUCUGAGUACUCACAAUGCCAAGGUUAAGUUAAAGCAAGCCCCAAGCCAGCACUUUGUUUUGUCUGUGUAGAAUCCCUGGGUGAUGCAUGUUAUUCUUAUACUUGCCCUGCACUGGAAGAGUACAAGCUCAGGGGCUAUAGGUGGAGAAAGGGCCCGGCCAGCCCCAGACCUGACCAGUGGGGCUCAAGACCCACAGUCUCCAUGGAGAAAUGACCACUGCACUGCUGGCUCGCCCACUGGCUCCCAGGCGGUUCAGCCAGCCUCUCUUCCCUACCCUCCCAGCCUUGCCUGCCUCAAACAUGCUCAGAGAAAGCAGCCUACAGUUCUUCAAAAUCACCUCAUAGGAAGCCUGCUAUACAACAAGGUAUGGAAUAACCUAUGUCAUUAAUUGAACACAAUACUGAAAGUGCAAAAUUUGGAUUUUGCAUGGGUACUCACCAUUAAUGCAUGGUUAGUGUAGGAGGUGUGAUCAAAAGAUAUAGUAAAUAAUUC
rnacentral:lncRNA from 1 species